CUACACGGGUAUCUAAUCCCGUUCGCUCCCCACGCUUUCGCGUCUCAGCGUCAGAGGUCGACCAGAGUGCCGCCUUCGCCACGGGUGUUCCUCCUGAUCUCUACGCAUUUCACCGCUACACCAGGAAUUCCACACUCCUCUUCGACCCUCAAGAACGCCAGUUUCCAGCGGCCGUCUCCGGUUGAGCCGGAGCCUUUCACGCCAGACUUGGUGUCCCGCCUACACGCGCUUUACGCCCAGUAAUUCCGGACAACGCUUGCCCCCUACGUAUUACCGCGGCUGCUGGCAC
rnacentral:rRNA from 1 species